GUAAGAAUUUUACUAAGGUGCAGUGAUCAAUUCAAUUGUGUGAAUUAAAGAGACAAACAUGACACAUCAAUAUACUAAAGAGUUACAUGUAAUAACAAUCAUUAUUUUAGGAAGAGCUUCUUGUAACUUCAUAGGUGCAAAAAAAUUGAUUUAAUUAUACAGAGCAUGUUCUUUUACAUUAUAAAUAAAAUGAUCAAACAUAUAGUUUAUUACAUGCAAAGGAUGAAUAAUAUGGAUAAAUUAUUCAAGUUUGUUUAUAUUACGAUCUUCUCUUUUUUCUUAUUUUUUGUUGUAUGCAACGCAUAUUUUGUACCAUUAUUGUACAUGUGUUUCAAUUCCCAAGAUUGUCCAAACAAGUUCUGCACCCACCCUGAUGUUGUGACGUGCAAAUGGUUUAUGUGUUCAUGCGUAUAGAUCGAUCACUCAUGACUAUCGGUUAAAGGUUAUUCAUCAUAAAUUGGAAGCCCUAUAAUUUUACGAUGAAUUCUUGUAUAUAUAAAGUGAAUAAUUCUCAUAAAUUCAUAAAUAGUAGUGUUCAUUAAAUUUUAGACGUAUCAAAAUUAUCUACUUCAGCGAUAUAUCAGCUUCAGUAUAUAUCCAUAUCCAAAUAACUAAAAUAAGAGUGUUCACCUAAUUUCAUAUGCA